rnacentral:misc_RNA from 1 species
AAGUCGUAACAAGGUUUCCGUAGGUGAACCUGCGGAAGGAUCAUUAAUAAUUUUUUUCAUCUAAUGAUGAAUAAAAAAUUAACCUUGUGUGCAAACAUUGCUUUGAAAGGAAGAAGGUGAAUACCUUCAUCCUAAAAACAAAAACACAUCAUCAAACUUUUAUGUAAAAACAAAAAUAUAUUAUAAUAAAAUACAACUUUCAACAACGGAUCUCUUGGCUCUC